CGGGGGGAGCAAGCGUUGUUCGGAUUUACUGGGCGUAAAGGGCGCGUAGGCGGCCACCGCAAGUCGGUUGUGAAAUCUCUGGGCUUAACCCAGAAAGGUCAACCGAUACUGCGGGGCUAGAGUGCAGAAGGGGCAACUGGAAUUCUCGGUGUAGCGGUGAAAUGCGUAGAUAUCGAGAGGAACACCUGCGGCGAAGGCGGGUUGCUGGGCUGACACUGACGCUGAGGCGCGAAAGCUAGGGGAGCGAACGGG
rnacentral:rRNA from 1 species